UUCGUAUUACUUUCUUUUUCUUGUUUCUAGUGUUCUUAGCCAUCUCCACGGCAUGCACAGAAGGGGCAGAGGCAUAGUACACAUCAUGCCUUCAUGAUAAGUCUUGUAUGAAGGUACGAAGCAUUCAAUAAUUCGUGAGAGGAGCACCCAAAAGGAUGGAUUUGCAUUAAGUUUUUUGUCCUAGAUUUUGUACAGUAUGUGAGAAAUUUAUAUGUUCCAUCUAUGUACUGAUUCUCUUAUCCCUCAAAACAUAUAUGAGGAACCGUGUACUUGUUAUAUGUCAGAGAUAACAUUAUCAACUGCUACAGAGAAGCAUAUUCUAGAGCUAUAUGCAUUAUGUUAUUUA